rnacentral:sRNA from 22 species
GCCACCCAUAGCCUGGCCAGGCGAAAAGCGGACACCUUCACCGCCUGGGGUGGCACCUUCUUGAAGG